UAAGGAUGUGUCAACUGUCAGGUUUUCAACAGUUGUAUGCAUGUCUGACAAAUGCAUUGUCCUGAGAUUUUUCACUUGCCUAGCAUGGCUAUUUACCUUCUCAAUACAAACAACUAAAAAUUGUGUAAUUCAUUGUUGCCUGGUAAAAAGGAAGAAAAUGUAUCAGCUCAUUACAACCUCUUUUCUUUUUCUUUUUUUUCAAAAUGGCAUUAGGCAUCUUAUCACAUAACGGGUCCCAUUUUUACUAUUACAUAAUAGCCAUUUCAUAACCUUUUUUUUAAUACUAUGAUUAUAUGCAUUUUCAUGAUGAUGACGAUCAUCAUAACAUAAGCCUUAUCCCAACUGAUGAGUCCAGCUAUACGAAUUUGAUUGUGUCAUUCCACUUUAUCAAGGAUCACCAUCAAACUUUGGCAUUUCCGAAAGGCCUCAAUUCAGCACCUGGAAGGCCUAGAGUGGCUCCAAACAGUCCAGUGAUUUUCGAUGUGAGCUUGGAAUACAUACCGGGCUUUGAAUUGGACGAAGAGUAAGAAAUCUAAUUUUCCUCAGAUUUUAUUUCCUUUCUGGAGGUGGGUCCCCCAUUAUUCUUUUCUUCUUUUAUUGUAUGAUAACAAUAUCUAUUCAUUGAUGGACUUGAAUUUGGAAGGUGAGGAGCUUUGCAUGGUUUCCACACCCAUGUUGUUGUAUCAUGAAAACAGUGAUUGGAAGUUGGAAUUUUUCUUAA